UACGGAGGGUGCAAGCGUUAUCCGGAUUCACUGGGUUUAAAGGGUGCGUAGGCGGACAAGUAAGUCAGUGGUGAAAUCUCUGGGCUUAACUCAGAAACUGCCGUUGAUACUAUUUGUCUUGAAUAUCUUGGAGGUAAGCGGAAUAUGUCAUGUAGCGGUGAAAUGCUUAAAUAUGACAUAGAACACCGAUAGCGAAGGCAGCUUACUACAGGAAGAUUGACGCUGAGGCACGAAAGCGUGGGGAGCAAACAGG
rnacentral:rRNA from 1 species